ensembl:lncRNA
GGAGUGAGUGUGUGUGUGUGUGUGUGUGUGUGUGUGUGUGUGUGGUGCGCGCGCGCGAACGGGGGCGCGCGUAUGAGGGCGGGCGCGCGCGAGCGAGGAAAGAGGGAGAGAAUGAAGAGGACAGGGAGAGCGCAGAGAGGAAAACUGCAGGAAACCACAGGGAAAGUACGGGUCACAGAAUGACAAAGAGGUAGGUGUAUCAACAGAUUUUGGAGUGGGAGUAUGAAGAGUGGGAGAAAUACGCCUAGGCUACUAUGGGAUCCUUGAAGAGGCUGUGUGGGUUAGGGAGCACCGGCGGAAGAGGCUUUCCUGAGACAAAGGCUGCUAUCUCUUGCUACACAGUGAAGCACUUUGGAGAACUAAAUUUUUUUCUCAGACAUAUGAGGCCGAUGUGAAUAUCAAAAUGAUAUAGAGGACCAAGGAAGAAUAACUCUUGAAAUCAUAAUAGUUUACAUGAACUCAUAUUUAAUUAGAUUCUUGGUAAGUAUGCAGUAUAUUAUUAAUGACUGCUUAUUUACCCAGCAACCGUAUUUGUUUUUGGCAAAUUAAUUUUAUGCUGUGAUGUGGAAUAAUACUUAGCUUUCUGUAACUGUUGAAAAUGCACUAGCAAUACUGUGUCACGUGCUAUGCUUAAUGGCCAUUGCUAAAGCUAGACAGAAAUAUGGUAAGACAAUUAAUAGCAUUCAUUUUGCCUUUACAAUUCCUUAAGUUUUCUAAUACUAGAAAAUACCAAUAAAAGCUUAAAAAAUUGUUACGUAUAGCUGAAACUCAAAGUUAUUUUUUGACAUCAUUGUAAGGAAUACUAUGAAUCUUAUAUAUCUUGAUAUCCUAUGUACAGAAAGUGACAUCUACUGGAGAAAACAGAACUGAAUAUUUACUUUCCAAACUCUUUCCCUGGUAAACUUCCAGGCAAGUUUCACUAUCCUCAAGAUUAUCCCAAACUUCUAGAACAAAGAAAGAUUUUAUUUAGCUUAGUAUGGUAUAAAGGCUGGCUUGUUUUGGCUAUCAUUUUGUCAAAGAUACCCUCUGGGAAAAAGUGGUUAUGAGGGCUACACAAAUGAUCUCGUAAGAAACACUACUGAAGACUUCAGGAAAACACAACUCUAGCAAAUUCCCUUAAGGGUGAAAUUGGGGUUCUAAAUCACUACAAAGCAGUAAGUGACCAAUUUGAACAGAACUCUGUCGUAACAAACCGUCUGGAGACAUGUUUGGGAAAUUUGUCACUUCUUUAAAUGGUCUGGAAUAGGAAUUAUAAAACAAAGGACGGGAUUCAAAUAUAUAACUUCUCUCUGACAUAAAGGCAUCCCUAUGCUACUUUGGAGCUUGAUCAUUUCUGUUCAUUCGUGCUAAAAAAUGUGUCUAACUCCAUGAUUUAAUCAAACCCUGUUCUUAGGGCAUUAGGGGAUACCACCAAGGUAUUUUUCACACAUGGUCAAAACUAAGAAGUGACCUGGAGCUCUGAAAGACAGAACAGACAUCAGCUUCUUUCUUGUGACACUAAUUCCCAAUAUUUAAGUAAUCACUCUUCCCUAAGGAAAACAAAAGCCUUUCUUCCCGUACUAGAAGCUACCGUGCCAGCCAUUUUCAAGACAGAAAGAGUGAGGCACAGCUAUGUUCGGUGAG